rnacentral:rRNA from 1 species
UACGUAGGGGGCGAGCGUUGUCCGGAAUGACUGGGCGUAAAGGGCGCGUAGGCGGCGCGGUAAGACGGGUGUGAAACCCCCGGGCUCAACUCGGGGCAUGCAAACGAGACUGCCGUGCUGGAGUGCAGGAGAGGGAAGCGGAAUUCCUAGUGUAGCGGUAAAAUGCGUAGAUAUUAGGAGGAACACCGGUGGCGAAGGCGGCUUUCUGGACUGUAACUGACGCUGAGGCGCGAAAGCGUGGGGAGCGAAC